AUCCCAUGGUGCGGACGGGCAGCAACAUACUCUUGCAUUCUCUCCCAAGCAUCAAGAAUGGAUUCCUCAGCUUGUUGUGUAAAACUGGAGAUUUUAUUGCAAAGAGC
rfam:Sorghum bicolor cultivar BTx623 chromosome 10, whole genome shotgun sequence.